rnacentral:rRNA from 1 species
GACGAACGCUGGCGGCGUGCUUAACACAUGCAAGUCGAACGAUGAAGAAAAGAAUCGCAGCUUCGGCAGAAAUUCAUUUCGGAUUAGUGGCAGACGGGUGAGUAACGCGUGAGCAACCUACCUCUUACAAAGGGAUAGCCUCGGGAAACCGGGAUUAAUACCAUAUAACAUUGCGACGAAGCAUUUCGAUGCAAUCAAAGCUACGGCGGUAAGAGAUGGGCUCGCGUCCCAUUAACCGGAUGGUGAGGUAACGGCUCACCAUAGUGACGAUGGGUAACCGGCCUGGGAGGGUGAACGGUCACACUGGAACUGAGACACGGUCCAGACUCCUACGGGAGGCAGCAGUGGGGAAUAUUGCACAAUGGAGGGAACUCUGAUGCAGCGACGCCGCGUGAGUGAUGAAGGAAUUCGUUUCGUAAAACUCUGUUCUAUGGGAAGAAAAGGACUGUACCAUAGGAGAAAGCUCCGGCUAAAUACGUG